rnacentral:lncRNA from 1 species
UGUUUGAACUUUUGGUGAGACUUUGGCUCCUUAGCAAGCGCUAUGGUGCCAUUAUCUUUGCAGUACUAUGUCAUGACAUGACAUCCAGUUCUACAACUAAUAUUAAAAUUAAAAUUUAUCCUACACAUCUAUAGCACACUCAGCCUCUAUGAUGGAUUACUCAGAACCUUUCUAGUAAAUCGAAUAAGAAUACACUCUCGAAUCAUAACUCA